AUUGAACGCUGGCGGCAGGCCUAACACAUGCAAGUCGAGCGGAUGAAGGGAGCUUGCUCCUGGAUUCAGCGGCGGACGGGUGAGUAAUGCCUAGGAAUCUGCCUGGUAGUGGGGGAUAACGUCCGGAAACGGGCGCUAAUACCGCAUACGUCCAGACGGAGAAAGGGGGGGAGCUUCGGACCUCACGCUCUCAGAUGAGCCUAGGUCGGAUUAGCUAGUUGGUGGGGUAAAGGCCUACCAAGGCGACGAUCCGUAACUGGUCUGAGAGGAUGAUCAGUCACACUGGAACUGAGACACGGUCCAGACUCCUACGGGAGGCAGCAGUAGGGAAUAUUGGACAAUGGGCGAAAGCCUGAUCCAGCCAUGCCGCGUGUGUGAAGAAGGUCUUCGGAUUGUAAAGCACUUUUAGUUGGGAGGAAGAACAGUAAGUUAAUAUCUUGCUGUUUUGACGGUACCAACAGAAUAAGCAACGGCUAACUUCGUG
rnacentral:rRNA from 1 species